CGUAGCUCAGUUGGAUAGAGCGUCUGGCUACGAACCAGAAGGUCGGGAGUUCGAAUCUCUCCGGGCGCACCA
rnacentral:tRNA from 1 species